GGGUUGUGAGGUUAAGCGACUAAGCGUACACGGUGGAUGCCCUGGCAGUCAGAGGCGAUGAAGGACGUGCUAAUCUGCGAUAAGCGUCGGUAAGGUGAUAUGAACCGUUAUAACCGGCGAUUUCCGAAUGGGGAAACCCAGUGUGAUUCGUCACACUAUCAUUAACUGAAUCCAUAGGUUAAUGAGGCGAACCGGGGGAACUGAAACAUCUAAGUACCCCGAGGAAAAGAAAUCAACCGAGAUUCCCCCAGUAGCGGCGAGCGAACGGGGAGGAGCCCAGAGCCUGAAUCAGUGUGUGUGUUAGUGGAAGCGUCUGGAAAGGCGCGCGAUACAGGGUGACAGCCCCGUACACAAAAAUGCACAUGCUGUGAGCUCGAUGAGUAGGGCGGGACACGUGGUAUCCUGUCUGAAUAUGGGGGGACCAUCCUCCAAGGCUAAAUACUCCUGACUGACCGAUAGUGAACCAGUACCGUGAGGGAAAGGCGAAAAGAACCCCGGCGAGGGGAGUGAAAAAGAACCUGAAACCGUGUACGUACAAGCAGUGGGAGCCUCUUUUAUGGGGUGACUGCGUACCUUUUGUAUAAUGGGUCAGCGACUUAUAUUCUGUAGCAAGGUUAACCGAAUAGGGGAGCCGAAGGGAAACCGAGUCUUAACUGGGCGUUAAGUUGCAGGGUAUAGACCCGAAACCCGGUGAUCUAGCCAUGGGCAGGUUGAAGGUUGGGUAACACUAACUGGAGGACCGAACCGACUAAUGUUGAAAAAUUAGCGGAUGACUUGUGGCUGGGGGUGAAAGGCCAAUCAAACCGGGAGAUAGCUGGUUCUCCCCGAAAGCUAUUUAGGUAGCGCCUCGUGAAUUCAUCUCCGGGGGUAGAGCACUGUUUCGGCAAGGGGGUCAUCCCGACUUACCAACCCGAUGCAAACUGCGAAUACCGGAGAAUGUUAUCACGGGAGACACACGGCGGGUGCUAACGUCCGUCGUGAAGAGGGAAACAACCCAGACCGCCAGCUAAGGUCCCAAAGUCAUGGUUAAGUGGGAAACGAUGUGGGAAGGCCCAGACAGCCAGGAUGUUGGCUUAGAAGCAGCCAUCAUUUAAAGAAAGCGUAAUAGCUCACUGGUCGAGUCGGCCUGCGCGGAAGAUGUAACGGGGCUAAACCAUGCACCGAAGCUGCGGCAGCGACACUAUGUGUUGUUGGGUAGGGGAGCGUUCUGUAAGCCUGCGAAGGUGUGCUGUGAGGCAUGCUGGAGGUAUCAGAAGUGCGAAUGCUGACAUAAGUAACGAUAAAGCGGGUGAAAAGCCCGCUCGCCGGAAGACCAAGGGUUCCUGUCCAACGUUAAUCGGGGCAGGGUGAGUCGACCCCUAAGGCGAGGCCGAAAGGCGUAGUCGAUGGGAAACAGGUUAAUAUUCCUGUACUUGGUGUUACUGCGAAGGGGGGACGGAGAAGGCUAUGUUGGCCGGGCGACGGUUGUCCCGGUUUAAGCGUGUAGGCUGGUUUUCCAGGCAAAUCCGGAAAAUCAAGGCUGAGGCGUGAUGACGAGGCACUACGGUGCUGAAGCAACAAAUGCCCUGCUUCCAGGAAAAGCCUCUAAGCAUCAGGUAACAUCAAAUCGUACCCCAAACCGACACAGGUGGUCAGGUAGAGAAUACCAAGGCGCUUGAGAGAACUCGGGUGAAGGAACUAGGCAAAAUGGUGCCGUAACUUCGGGAGAAGGCACGCUGAUAUGUAGGUGAAGUCCCUCGCGGAUGGAGCUGAAAUCAGUCGAAGAUACCAGCUGGCUGCAACUGUUUAUUAAAAACACAGCACUGUGCAAACACGAAAGUGGACGUAUACGGUGUGACGCCUGCCCGGUGCCGGAAGGUUAAUUGAUGGGGUCAGCGCAAGCGAAGCUCUUGAUCGAAGCCCCGGUAAACGGCGGCCGUAACUAUAACGGUCCUAAGGUAGCGAAAUUCCUUGUCGGGUAAGUUCCGACCUGCACGAAUGGCGUAAUGAUGGCCAGGCUGUCUCCACCCGAGACUCAGUGAAAUUGAACUCGCUGUGAAGAUGCAGUGUACCCGCGGCAAGACGGAAAGACCCCGUGAACCUUUACUAUAGCUUGACACUGAACAUUGAGCCUUGAUGUGUAGGAUAGGUGGGAGGCUUAGAAGUGUGGACGCCAGUCUGCAUGGAGCCGACCUUGAAAUACCACCCUUUAAUGUUUGAUGUUCUAACGUUGACCCGUGAUCCGGGUUGCGGACAGUGUCUGGUGGGUAGUUUGACUGGGGCGGUCUCCUCCUAAAGAGUAACGGAGGAGCACGAAGGUUGGCUAAUCCUGGUCGGACAUCAGGAGGUUAGUGCAAUGGCAUAAGCCAGCUUGACUGCGAGCGUGACGGCGCGAGCAGGUGCGAAAGCAGGUCAUAGUGAUCCGGUGGUUCUGAAUGGAAGGGCCAUCGCUCAACGGAUAAAAGGUACUCCGGGGAUAACAGGCUGAUACCGCCCAAGAGUUCAUAUCGACGGCGGUGUUUGGCACCUCGAUGUCGGCUCAUCACAUCCUGGGGCUGAAGUAGGUCCCAAGGGUAUGGCUGUUCGCCAUUUAAAGUGGUACGCGAGCUGGGUUUAGAACGUCGUGAGACAGUUCGGUCCCUAUCUGCCGUGGGCGCUGGAGAACUGAGGGGGGCUGCUCCUAGUACGAGAGGACCGGAGUGGACGCAUCACUGGUGUUCGGGUUGUCAUGCCAAUGGCACUGCCCGGUAGCUAAAUGCGGAAGAGAUAAGUGCUGAAAGCAUCUAAGCACGAAACUUGCCCCGAGAUGAGUUCUCCCUGACUCCUUGAGAGUCCUGAAGGAACGUUGAAGACGACGACGUUGAUAGGCCGGGUGUGUAAGCGCAGCGAUGCGUUGAGCUAACCGGUACUAAUGAACCGUGAGGCUUAACCUUACAACGCCGAAGCUGUU
rnacentral:rRNA from 1 species